rnacentral:lncRNA from 1 species
AAGAACUUGGAGUCUGAUGUUUGAGGGCAGUAAGCAUCCAGCACAGGAGAAAGAUGUAGUCUGGGAGGCUAAGUCAGUCUAGUCUUUUCAGGUUUUUCUGCCUGCUGUGUAUUCCAGCCAUGCUGGCAGCUGAUUAGAUGGUGCCCACCGAGAUUAAAGGUGGUCUGCCUUUCCCAGCCCACUGACUCAAAUGUUAAUCUCCUUUGGCAACACCCUCACAGACACACCCAGAAUCAAUACUUUGCAUCCUUCAAUCCAAUCAAGUUGACACUCAAUAUUAACCAUCACAAAACUAUUAUGUAAUAGUAUGAUUGUAUUAUAUUAGAAACUAAAUUAAGGGAAACAUACAGACUUCUCUGGGUCUUCCAAGCAAGACCUCAGCGCCUUGAGAGAAACAAUAAAGCCCACAUGGAUCCAGGCAUGGGUCGAUUCAAUGACCACAGGCCUUGUUCUCAGCUGGGGACAAACCCUGUAUUUUCAGGAGAGUGAACAGAGAUGUUACUUUAGAUAGGUGGUCAGAGAAAGGUCUGAGAUAGUGAUAUCUGAGCUGAGAGCUGAAUGCUAAAAGUCAGCUUGGUGAUUAUUAGGUAAAGCCUUCCGGGCACAGAGAAUGCAAGUGUGAAAAUCUGAGGUUGACAUGAGUUUGGGUGUUUGGGGAACAGAAAAAAUGUCCUUGUUCCUGGAGCAUGGUGUGGUGAUAGGAGAAGGGAUCAGAGAGAUAACCAGGGGUCAGAAUUUACUCCAAAUGCCAAGAUUUGGUUCAUUUCAGAAAGGCAGACUAGGCCAGGCAUGGUGGCUCACGCCUGUAAUCCCAGCACUUUGGGAGGCUGAGGCAGGUGGAUCACAAAGUCAGGAGAUCGAAACCAGCCUGGCCAACAUGGUGAAACCCCAUCUCUACUAAAAAUACAAAAAUUAGCUGGGUGUUGUGGCAGUCUUCUGUAAUCCCAGCUACUCAGGAGUCUGAGGCAGGAGAAUCACUUGAACCCAGGAGUUGGAGGUUGCAGUGAGACGAGAUUGUGCCAUCCUGGGGGACAAGAGCGAGACUUAAUCUCAAAAAAAAAAAA